AGUGAACGCUGGCGGUAGGCCUAACACAUGCAAGUCGAACGGCAGCACAGUAAGAGCUUGCUCUUACGGGUGGCGAGUGGCGGACGGGUGAGGAAUACAUCGGAAUCUACUUUUUCGUGGGGGAUAACGUAGGGAAACUUACGCUAAUACCGCAUACGACCUACGGGUGAAAGCAGGGGAUCUUCGGACCUUGCGCGAGUGAAUGAGCCGAUGUCGGAUUAGCUAGUUGGCGGGGUAAAGGCCCACCAAGGCGACGAUCCGUAGCUGGUCUGAGAGGAUGAUCAGCCACCCUGGAACUGGGACACGGUCCAGACUCCUACGGGAGGCAGCAGUGGGGAAUAUUGGACAAUGGGCGCAAGCCUGAUCCAGCCAUACCGCGUGGGUGAAGAAGGCCUUCGGGUUGUAAAGCCCUUUUGUUGGGAAAGAAAAGCAGCAGGUUAAUACCCCGCUGUUCUGACGGUACCCAAAGAAUAAGCACCGGCUAACUUCGUG
rnacentral:rRNA from 1 species